rnacentral:rRNA from 1 species
UAACACGGAGAGUGCGAGCGUUGUUCGGAAUUACUGGGCUUAAAGCGCGUGCAGGCGGGAUAUCAGGUGUCGUGUGAAAACCCCGGGCUCAACCCGGGAACGGCAUGGCAAACCGGUAUUCUUGAGGCAGGUAGAGGCGACUGGAACGACUGGUGGAGCGGUGAAAUGCGUAGAUAUCAGUUGGAACGCCGGUGGCGAAAGCGGGUCGCUGGACCUGUUCUGACGCUGAGACGCGAAAGCGUGGGGAGCGAAGAGGAUUAGAUACCCUCGUAGUCCACGCCGUAAACGAUGCGUACUAGGUAUGAGAGGAUCUGACUCCGAUCGUGCCGUAGCUAAAGUGAUAAGUACGCCGCCUGGGGAGUACGGCUGCAAGGCUA